rnacentral:rRNA from 1 species
AAUGCACGAUGUACUCUCCGGAGUAAAGAUUUAUCGCUCUAGGAGGAGCCCGCGUCCUAUCAGCUUGUUGGUGAGGUAAAAGCUCACCAAGGCAAUGACGGGUAGGGGGUGUGAGAGCAUGACCCCCAGCAUUGGCACUGAGACACUGGCCAAACUCCUACGGGAGGCUGCAGUCGAGAAUAUUCCACAAUGGGCGAAAGCCUGAUGGAGCGACACCGCGUGCGAGAUGAAGGCCCUAGGGUCGUAAAUCGCUUUUAUUAGGGAUCAAUGUACUGAGCGUACCUAAUGAAUAAGAGGUUACUAACUCUGUGCCAGCAGUAGCGGUAAUACAGAGACCUCAAGCGUUAUCCGGAUUUAUUGGGCGUAAAGCGUAUGUAGGCGGGUGUGUUAGUCGUGGGUCAAAUUUCCGAGCUCAACUCGGGAGCUGCUUACGAAACGGCACAUCUAGAGAAAGUGAGAGAUGACUGGAACUCAUGGUGUAGUAGUGAAAUGCGUUGAUAUCAUGGGGAACACCAAAGGCGAAGGCAGGUCAUUGGCACUUUUCUGACGCUGAGAUACGAAAGCGUGGGUAGCGAAUGGGAUUAGA